rnacentral:rRNA from 1 species
UGUCCGGAUUUAUUGGGCGUAAAGAGUGUGUAGGCGGCCAGGUAGGUCUGCUGUGAAAACUCGAGGCUCAACCUCGAGACGUCGGUUGAAACCGUAUGGCUAGAGUCCGGAAGAGGAGAGUGGAAUUCCCGGUGUAGCGGUGAAAUGCGCAGAUAUCGGGAAGAACACCCGUGGCGAAGGCGGCUCUCUGGGACGGUACUGACGCUGAGACGCGAAAGCGUGGGGAGCGAACAGG